rnacentral:lncRNA from 1 species
AAGAAGCUUUGCGAUGGUAAACACGUAACGAACGUCAAACCAGGUGGGAAAAGGGUGUCACAUAACCUCACGUAUCUUUCGCUAGCCCAUGCGUGAUUCCCAACCAUAUUGACAUGGAUAUCAAACUAACGGGCUUC